AACGUAGGGGACAAGCGUUAUCCGGAUUUACUGGGCGUAAAGCGCACGUAGGCGGACUGUUAAGUCGGGGGUGAAAUCCUGGGGCUCAACCUCAGAAUUGCCUCCGAUACUGGCAGUCUCGAGUGCGGGAGAGGUGAGUGGAAUUCCCAGUGUAGAGGUGAAAUUCGUAGAUAUUGGGAAGAACACCAGUGGCGAAGGCGGCUCACUGGCCCGUAACUGACGCUGAGGUGCGAAAGCGUGGGGAGCAAACAGG
rnacentral:rRNA from 1 species